rfam:Pteropus alecto contig107648, whole genome shotgun sequence.
AUACUAUAAGGAAUAUAGUAAAUAAUAUUUUGGGCAAUAUUUUAGUGAUUUUUCAGAGAAGUCCUAGUGACACAAUAUUCUAGGAGAGGUUAUCUUGUCUCUUCCACUAGAUUGAUAAGAUCAGGUAUC